rnacentral:rRNA from 1 species
AGCGAACGCUGGCGGCAGGCCUAACACAUGCAAGUCGAGCGCCGUAGCAAUACGGAGCGGCAGACGGGAGAGUAACACGUGGGAACGUGCCCUUUGGUUCGGAACAACCCAGGGAAACUUGGGCUAAUACCGGAUAAGCCCUUACGGGGAAAGAUUUAUCGCCGAAGGAUCGGCCCGCGUCUGAUUAGCUAGUUGGUGGGGUAAUGGCCCACCAGGGCGACGAUCAGUAGCUGGUCUGAGAGGAUGAUCAGCCUCACUGGGACUGAGACACGGCCCAGACUCCUACGGGAGGCAGCAGAGGGGAAUAUUGGACAAUGGGCGCAAGCCUGAUCCAGCCAUGCCGCGUGGGUGAUGAAGGCCCUAGGGUUGUAAAGCCCUUUCGGCGGGGAAGAUAAUGACGGUACCCGCAGAAGAAGCCCCGGCUAACUUCGUGCCAGCAGCCGCGGUAA